rnacentral:tRNA from 1 species
GGGGCUGUGCCUGAAUUAAAGGACCACUUUGAUAGAGUGAACCAUAGGGGUUAAAAUCCCCUCCGCCCCU